UAGGGAAUCUUCCGCAAUGGGCGAAAGCCUGACGGAGCAAUGCCGCGUGAGUGAAGAAGGCCUUCGGGUCGUAAAACUCUGUUAUAAGAGAAGAACAAAUUGUAGAGUAUCUGCUACAGUCUUGACGGUAUCUUAUCAGAAAGCCACGGCUAACUACGUGCCAGCAGCCGCGGUAAUACGUAGGUGGCAAGCGUUGUCCGGAUUUAUUGGGCGUAAAGGGAGCGCAGGUGGUUUCUUAAGUCUGAUGUGAAAGCCCACGGCUUAACCGUGGAGGGUCAUUGGAAACUGGGAAACUUGAGUACAGAAGAGGAAUGUGGAACUCCAUGUGUAGCGGUGGAAUGCGUAGAUAUAUGGAAGAACACCAGUGGCGAAGGCGACAUUCUGGUCUGUUACUGACACUGAGGCUCGAAAGCGUGGGGAGCAAACAGG
rnacentral:rRNA from 1 species